rnacentral:rRNA from 1 species
GACGAACGCUGGCGGCGUGCUUAACACAUGCCAGUCGAACGGAAAGGCCCUGCUUUUGUGGGGUGCUCGAGUGGCGAACGUGUGAGUAACACGUGAGUAACCUGCCCUUGACUUUGGUAUAACUUCAGGAAACUGGGGCUAAUACCGGAUAGGAGCUCCUGCUGCAUGGUGGGGGUUGGAAAGUUUCGGCGGUUGGGGAUGGACUCGCGGCUUAUCAGCUUGUUGGUGGGGUAGUGGCUUACCAAGGCUUUGACGGGUAGCCGGCCUGAGAGGGUGACCGGCCACAUUGGGACUGAGAUACGGCCCAGACUCCUACGGGAGGCAGCAGUGGGGAAUAUUGCACAAUGGGCGGAAGCCUGAUGCAGCAACGCCGCGUGCGGGAUGACGGCCUUCGGGUUGUAAACCGCUUUCGCCUGUGACGAAGCGUGAGUGGCGGUAAUGGGUAAAGAAGCACCGGCUAACUACGUG